rnacentral:precursor_RNA from 12 species
CGAAUUUGGGACGUGCUGAGAUGUCCUCAGCAUCUUACUGGGCAGCAUUGGAUGAUCCAUGCCGCUCUAAUACUGCCUGGUAAUGAUGAUGAAGGCUCUUCCUGAGCACCGCGCCCGCAG